CUACAGCUCGUGUGUGAAGACGGCGAACCACGGUCCUUUGCAGAGGCCGAGAGAGACGCGGCAUGGCGCGCCGCGAUGAAGUUGGAGAUGGAUGCGGUCGAGCAAAACCGCACCUGGGAGCUUGCUGAUCUCCCUCGAGGUCACCGCGCAAUCACCCUUAAGUGGGUGUUCAAGCUGAAGAGGGAUGGAGCCGGCGCCAUCAUCAAGCACAAGGCUCGUUUGGUGGCCCAAGGCUUCUUGCAGCAGGAAGGAGUCGACUUCGACGACGCUUUCGCUCCUGUGGCACGGAUGGAGUCCGUGCGACUUCUCCUUGCGCUGGCUGCCCAGGAGGGCUGGCGUGUCCACCACAUGGACGUUAAGUCGGCAUUCCUCAAUGGCGACUUGAAGGAGGAAGUCUACGUGCAUCAGCCACCGGGGUUUACGAUUCCCGGCCAGGAGGGCAAGGUGCUCCGCCUGCGCAAGGCUCUCUAUGGCCUGCGGCAGGCACCCAGGGCGUGGAACGCCAAGCUGGACUCCACGCUGAAGAAGAUGGGUUUCGAGCAGAGCCCGCAUGAGGCUGCCGUCUACCGACGGGGGAGUGGAGGAAAUGCCCUGCUGGUGGGCGUCUACGUUGACGACCUGGUGAUCACCGGCACCAAAGAUGCAGAGGUGGCGGCGUUCAAGGAAGACAUGAAGGCCACGUUCCAGAUGAGUGACCUGGGGCUCCUCUCCUUCUAUCUAGGGAUUGAGGUGCACCAGGACCACUCCGGGAUCGCGCUUCGACAGUCCGCCUACGCCAAGCGCAUCGUUGAGCUAGCUGGGCUCACCGACUGCCAUCCAGCUCUCACUCCGAUGGAGGAGAGGCUGAAACUAAGCCGCGACAGCACGACGGAGGAAGUGGAUGCUACACAGUACCGACGCCUUGUGGGGAGCCUUCGCUACCUCACUCACACACGGCCGGACUUGGCAUUCUCCGUCGGCUAUGUCAGUCGGUUCAUGGAGCGACCAACCUGGCAAUCAGUCAAGCAGCAGGUGGUGGCCCUGUCCAGCUGUGAGGCUGAGUACAUAGCGGCCUCCACCGCCUGCACUCAGGCGCUCUGGCUUGCUCGACUGCUUGGUGAUCUUCUCGUUCAAGACACCAAAACGGUGCAGCUCCUGGUGGACAGCAAGUCCGCCCUGGCCCUGGCAAAGAACCCCGUGUUC
rnacentral:rRNA from 1 species